rnacentral:rRNA from 1 species
GACGAACGCUGGCGGCGUGCCUAAUACAUGCAAGUAGAACGCACAGUUUAUACCGUAGCUUGCUACACCAUAGACUGUGAGUUGCGAACGGGUGAGUAACGCGUAGGUAACCUGCCUGGUAGCGGGGGAUAACUAUUGGAAACGAUAGCUAAUACCGCAUAAUAUUAAUUAUUGCAUGAUAAUUAAUUGAAAGGUGCAAUUGCACCACUACCAGAUGGACCUGCGUUGUAUUAGCUAGUAGGUGAGGUAACGGCUCACCUAGGCGACGAUACAUAGCCGACCUGAGUGGGUGAUCGGCCACACUGGGACUGAGACACGGCCCAGACUCCUACGGGAGGCAGCAGUAGGGAAUCUUCGGCAAUGGACGAAAGUCUGACCGAGCAACGCCGCGUGAGUGAAGAAGGUUUUCGGAUCGUAAAGCUCUGUUGUAAGAGAAGAACGGGUGUGAGAGUGGAAAGUUCACACUGUGACGGUAUCUUACCAGAAAGGGACGGCUAACUACGUG